rnacentral:rRNA from 1 species
GCUUACGGCCAUACCACCUGAACACGCCCGAUCUCGUCCGAUCUCGAAGCUAAGCAGGGUCGGGCCUGGUUAGUACUUGGAUGGGAGACCGCUGGGAAUACAGGUGCUGUAAGCU